UAGGGAAUCUUCCACAAUGGACGCAAGUCUGAUGGAGCAACGCCGCGUGAGUGAAGAAGGUCCUCGGAUCGUAAAACUCUGUUGUUAGAGAAGAACACGAGUGAGAGUAACUGUUCAUUCGAUGACGGUAUCUAACCAGCAAGUCACGGCUAACUACGUGCCUG
rnacentral:rRNA from 1 species